AGAUUAUCGAUCGUUCUCCAAGCAGGUCGGCCAACAUACCUGAUCCGGAACUUGAGGUAAGGGCAAGGCAAAGUUAGAACAACCAUGAGAUGGCGAUCUUCUCCAGCAAUGUACAUAUUGACCCCACCAGCUUGCGUGUUGAGUUGACAGGAGUUGUUUUAGACUGGCUGUGUCUUGUGUCUGCUGUAUUUUGAAUUGUAUUUUGAACUGUUGUUGUAUAUCAUCUUUUGGAUAAAUCUUUUAUAACAGGGAUUUCCGGAACUCCUUUUUACUGCCGUUAUAAUGUCCGUUUUUAGUAUUUUAUUUUA